GAUGAACGCUAGCGGCAGGCUUAAUACAUGCAAGUCGAGGGGCAGCGCAGUGUAGCAAUACAUGGGCGGCGACCGGCAAACGGGUGCGGAACACGUACGCCACCUUCCUUUAAGUGGGGGAUAGCCCAGGGAAACUUGGAUUAAUACCCCGUAAUAUUAUGAAGUGGAAUCACUUUAUACUUAUAGCUCCGGCGCUUAAAGAUGGGCGUGCGACUGAUUAGGUAGUUGGCGGGGUAACGGCCCACCAAGCCUGCGACCAGUAACUGGUGUGAGAGCACGACCAGUCACACGGGCACUGAGACACGGGCCCGACUCCUACGGGAGGCAGCAGUAAGGAAUAUUGGUCAAUGGACGCAAGUCUGAACCAGCCAUGCCGCGUGGAGGAUGAAGGUCCUCUGGAUUGUAAACUUCUUUUAUUUGGGAAGAAACCCACUGUUUCUACGGUGGUUGACGGUACCAGAUGAAUAAGCACCGGCUAACUCCGUGCCAGCAGCCGCGGUAACAC
rnacentral:rRNA from 1 species